rnacentral:rRNA from 1 species
CUACGGGGCGCACCAGUGGGGAAUAUUGCACAAUGGAGGAAACUCUGAUGCAGCAACGCCGCGUGGAGGAUGACACUUUUCGGAGCGUAAACUCCUUUUAUAUAGGAAGAAGAUGACGGUACUAUAUGAAUAAGCGCCGGCUAACUCCGUGCCAGCAGCCGCGGUAAUACGGAGGGCGCAAGCGUUACUCGGAAUCACUGGGCGUAAAGAGCGUGUAGGCGGAUUAAAAAGUCAGAAGUGAAAUCCUAUAGCUUAACUAUAGAACUGCUUCUGAAACUCUUAAUCUAGAAUAUGGGAGAGGUAGAUGGAAUUUCUGGUGUAGGGGUAAAAUCCGUAGAGAUCAGAAGGAAUACCGCUUGCGAAGGCGACCUACUCGACCAAUAUUGACGCUGAGCCGCGAAAGCGUGGGGAGCAAACAGGAUUAGAUACCCGAGUAGUC